CCGACGGUGGCGCUCAUUGGCCCGGCCCGCUUCGGCGGCCACGCCCCCAGCGGGGAGCCGGUCCACGUGGGGCGGGACAGCCCCCUCCCUGCGGCCUCGCCCUGGAGUCUCGGCACCGUCUGGCCCCGCCGGCUGAUUACAGCCAGAGAUCGAGGGGGACCUCGCUGUCCCCCUAGAGGCCGUCAUGCGGGGUUACAGAGGCUGCGACCAAAGUCAUUCCUAGCUCCUCUCUCGGGGCUCCGGAAAGCCGUCCGCGCCUCCAGCCGCACUUUCAGCGCACGCAGGACCUGCCGCGCCCGGUGGCCACACCCGUCCCUCUGCCGGGUGACGCUGCGGGAGAUCUUGCGCCCUGGGGCUCCGGAUCCAGUUCUGGCACGUUGUUGCACCUGUGACUUGUCCUUGGCCUGGCACUGUCCCUCGCCUGGGGGAAGCGGGGGGGUGGGGGGGGGAUGCUCACGUGGUCGCUUUGCUCCCGCAGUCAUGCACUUGGGUGAAAACAGACUGAAGAGUCACGGGAACCAGCUUGUCUCCCCAGUUAUGGCGCAGAGCUGCAAGGAUGGCUGUGGGUCAUUAAUUUCUCCGUGGCUGACCUGUGUUUGUAACGCCGCAGCUGUUGCGAGGGGGAAGGACACUGCUUCGGAUUCAAAUUCUGACUCCUUGCUGCAGUGUGUCACCUUGAGCCAGUCCCAGAUCUCUGCGUUCUCACAAUUGUAAAAUGUUAACAGAGGCUGCCUACCUUGUGGCUGGAAUUAAAUGAAUUAACGUGUGUGAAUGUGACUAGAAUUCAGUACAUGUUCAGGAAAAGCUGAUUUCCGCUUUGCUGUUACCGUGAAUAUUACUGUUUUAGGGUGUAGAAAAGGGUGGAAGGGGAUGUUAUUGCAUCCUGGAAGCUUAUCCUUUUGAGGUAAAGAUUGAUUUCUGGUCCCCUGCGUGGUAUAUAGUGUAGUUUUGACAUUAUUUAGAUGUGUUAUGCACAUUUGGGUGUUGAUUAUAUGGCUUACGAUCAAGACUAACCAGUCAUGCCGUGGGAGAUUAAGGUCGUGGUCUCUUGUCAGGAUUGUAGUGAGAUUUAAAAAUUCCAGCCAGAAAUACCAGGCUUAGAAUGCUCUGAAGCCCUCCCCACAUUUUUGCCAUCUCUAGCAGGAGGGCACUGCAUAGCAGAAACAAAGACGUUGUAAAUUGUUGCUGCCUGAGUCAUUUAUAGAGGCUUAAACAACCUGAAUGUCCUCUGACCUACCUGUAACAUUUGAUGGAGUUGUAUGAGUAACUUACAAAGCUGUAGGUCCCAAGGUCGGUCUGAAAAAGAAAGUUCAUAUCCGGGAGCACUGACCCCGUAGUGUAAUCCUGGCACCUUAAAACGUACUGCUCCCUCCACCUUCACUUCAAGGUUAUGAAAACAUUGAGUAAAAGGGAUGAUCUGUUCAAAGUCCUUAGUGUUCUGCCAAUUUAAAACAGUAAUUUUCAAAGCAGUUAUUUGCAAGGAAAUUGCCUAGAACUUCUCCCAGUGUGCGGUUGUUUUGUGUGUUUGUGUGUGUGUUUUGUUUGUUUGUUUUCAGUCUGUCCACAGGCGUACUUUUAUAGGUCUGUGAUAGUAGGUAGCUCUUCAAGUUGGCAAACACCUGCUGGACAACCCCUGAGAGAUUCAUCUGAGUGAGAGAGCACUCUCCAGCCCCAUCGGAGUGGGUUUGCAGGGAAAUCAUAAGGAAGAAAUCCUUAUCUUUCCAACACUGAGAUGCUUCUGCCGAAGAGUAGAAUGGGAGGUGAGGAAUUGGGGUGGGCCCUCACUGCUUUGCCUCCGGAUCAGUAGGGUACAGCCCUUGGAGACCAGGAUCUUCCUUGGCUGGGACACCUUCGUCCUCCCCUAAGGGAGGAGAGUGAGGGGACACGCAAAACGGGCUGCUGCCGGAGGAAGAGGAACAGUGUUGUGGCUCAUGCCAUAUGAAUGGGCUCACUGGCCUGGCCCAGACCCUGACUGCCCACAGGAUCUUUGACAGAGAAACGGAGGCACAGAGAAGGAAGCGGCAGUUAAAGCUGCGAAGAACCUAACAAAUUUCAAGAUUGUAAGUGCCUUUUCCCAGGAUGCCAGCAAGUACUGAGCCUGUAUUUUGAGCUGCAUCAAACCCUGUUGGAAUAAAAAAGGACAUUUCUAGGAGAUCAGUCUUCGAGAUUGGCCCCAGUUUCCCCAGAGUAGGAAGAGGCAGGAAGCCAGAGCACAUGUUCUCUCCAGAAAUAAAGUUGUUGCAGUGGCCUAACCGUGUCUUAGAGUUACUGAAAACUCUGUUCUCUUGAGAUUUCUCAAGAAAGGAAACCUAUCUUGCAAGACAAAACCCACCUGUAGUCAAUUCCUACAGGAAAUAAAUUCAAAAUAAUGUUUCAGGCAAGGGC
rnacentral:lncRNA from 1 species